UACGUAGGGGGCAAGCGUUGUCCGGAAUCAUUGGGCGUAAAGCGCGCGUAGGCGGUCCGAUAAGUCCGCUGUAAAAGUCGGGGGCUCAACCCUCGAAUGCCGGUGGAUACUGUCGGGCUUGAGUGCGGAAGAGGCGAGUGGAAUUCCUGGUGUAGCGGUGAAAUGCGCAGAUAUCAGGAGGAACACCAAUUGCGAAGGCAGCUCGCUGGACGUUACUGACGCUGAUGCGCGAAAGCGUGGGGAGCAAACAGG
rnacentral:rRNA from 1 species